rnacentral:rRNA from 1 species
GAUGAACGCUGGCGGCGUGCCUAAUACAUGCAAGUCGAGCGAACGGACGAGAAGCUUGCUUCUCUGAUGUUAGCGGCGGACGGGUGAGUAACACGUGGAUAACCUACCUAUAAGACUGGGAUAACUUCGGGAAACCGGAGCUAAUACCGGAUAAUAUUUUGAACCGCAUGGUUCAAAAGUGAAAGACGGUCUUGCUGUCACUUAUAGAUGGAUCCGCGCUGCAUUAGCUAGUUGGUAAGGUAACGGCUUACCAAGGCAACGAUGCAUAGCCGACCUGAGAGGGUGAACGGCCACACUGGAACCGAGACACGGUCCAGACUCCUACGGGAGGCAGCAGUAGGGAAUCUUCCGCAAUGGGCGAAAGCCUGACGGAGCAACGCCGCGUGAGUGAUGAAGGUCUUCGGAUCGUAAAACUCUGUUAUUAGGGAAGAACAUAUGUGUAAGUAACUGUGCACAUCUUGACGGUACCUAAUCAGAAAGCCACGGCUAACUACGUG